rnacentral:rRNA from 1 species
CAUGGAGCUGAAAUCAGUCGAAGAUACCAGCUGGCUGCAACUGUUUAUUAAAAACACAGCACUGUGCAAACACGAAAGUGGACGUAUACGGUGUGACGCCUGCCCGGUGCCGGAAGGUUAAUUGAUGGGGUUAUCCGUAAGGAGAAGCUCUUGAUCGAAGCCCCGGUAAACGGCGGCCGUAACUAUAACGGUCCUAAGGUAGCGAAAUUCCUUGUCGGGUAAGUUCCGACCUGCACGAAUGGCGUAAUGAUGGCCAGGCUGUCUCCACCCGAGACUCAGUGAAAUUGAACUCGCUGUGAAGAUGCAGUGUACCCGCGGCAAGACGGAAAGACCCCGUGAACCUUUACUAUAGCUUGACACUGAACACUGGUCCUUGAUGUGUAGGAUAGGUGGGAGGCUUUGAAGUGUGGACGCCAGUCUGCAUGGAGCCAUCCUUGAAAUACCACCCUUUAAUGGCUGGUGUUCUAACGUGGGCCCGUAAUCCGGGUUGCGGACAGUGUCUGGUGGGUAGUUUGACUGGGGCGGUCUCCUCCUAAAGAGUAACGGAGGAGCACGAAGGUCAGCUAAUCCUGGUCGGACAUCAGGAGGUUAGUGCAAUGGCAUAAGCUGGCUUGACUGCGAGCGUGACGGCGCGAGCAGGUGCGAAAGCAGGUCAUAGUGAUCCGGUGGUUCUGAAUGGAAGGGCCAUCGCUCAACGGAUAAAAGGUACUCCGGGGAUAACAGGCUGAUACCGCCCAAGAGUUCAUAUCGACGGCGGUGUUUGGCACCUCGAUGUCGGCUCAUCACAUCCUGGGGCUGAAGUAGGUCCCAAGGGUAUGGCUGUUCGCCAUUUAAAGUGGUACGCGAGCUGGGUUUAGAACGUCGUGAGACAGUUCGGUCCCUAUCUGCCGUGGGCGCUGGAGAAUUGAGGGGGGCUGCUCCUAGUACGAGAGGACCGGAGUGGACGCAUCACUGGUGUUCGGGUUGUCAUGCCAAUGGCAUUGCCCGGUAGCUAAAUGCGGAAGAGAUAAGUGCUGAAAGCAUCUAAGUACGAAACUUGCCCCGAGAUGAGUUCUCCCUGACCCUUUAAGGGUCCUGAAGGAACGUUGAAGACGACGACGUUGAUAGGCCGGGUGUGUAAGCGCAGCGAUGCGUUGAGCUAACCGGUACUAAUGAACCGUGAGGCUUAACCUU